UACGGAGGGGGCUAGCGUUGUUCGGAAUUACUGGGCGUAAAGCGCACGUAGGCGGAUUGGAAAGUUGGGGGUGAAAUCCCAGGGCUCAACCCUGGAACUGCCUUCAAAACUCCCAGUCUAGAGUUCUGGAGAGGUGAGUGGAAUUCCGAGUGUAGAGGUGAAAUUCGUAGAUAUUCGGAGGAACACCAGUGGCGAAGGCGGCUCACUGGCCAGAUACUGACGCUGAGGUGCGAAAGCGUGGGGAGCAAACAGG
rnacentral:rRNA from 1 species